CCCUUUGUGGUGUAGUUGGUAUCACACCCGGCUGUAAUAGCGUAGCCUCAUACCUAUGUUGUGUAUGGAUAACCGGUUGGUCACCAGUUCGACUCUGGUCGAAGGGA